UCUCCAUGGAGAUUAUAUAUAUAUAUAUAUAUAUAUAUAUAUAUAUAUUAAACUGUAGUUUGGAUUUCAUAAAAUCCUAUUCCUGCAUUUAACAGUAAUCCAUCAUUCAGACACACUGAAAUUCUAACCAGCCCGAGUACAUGAUAUCAAAUCAUUCAAUUCAAUUUGACAAACGGAUUAGUUAUAAUAAAAACCAAAACCCACGUUUUUCUGCCUCGCGAAUCAAUCCCGACCUUUACACGCGUCUCAUCCGUCUUCACUGAAAGCUCGGCUGGAGAGCUCUCAUUUUGAAGCUGACGACCUCUAUUAUAACGCACACAGAUUGUAUUUUAACGAUUCGGGAUUCCUCCACCCGUCGCCGAGAGCAGAGUAACGGUAAUCGGUGUCUUUCAGCACCUUCCUCCGAGCAGAGAGAGGGAGGGAGGUGUUGAAUUCGCUCAGGAAGACGAGGGCUGAACGGGUAGUUUACAGAAAAGUGUUGCUACCGCCGCACGGCAAACAGAACCGGGUCUAACCGCUACUCGACUUCACAAUGGAGAUUCACCCGAGGAAAUUCCCUCGCUGCGGAAACGGAAACAUCUGGAGCGUGUCCGUUACAACGGGAGAUGAAGAUGUUUGGGCGCGAGCGCUCGUGAUUUAUUAACGAUGUAAAUAGUCUAUGGGGGAGUCUGUCUGUCUGUCUGGGUGGGGAGGCGGACACGUUUUAUGUCUGGAGAAGAGAGAGACAACCUUGUUCCGCGCUGACGGCUCCGUGGGAAACCCCUCUAUCUAACCUGGGCAGUAACGCAUGACGGACCGACCGACAGACCGACCGACCGACAGACAGACAGACCGACCGACAGACAGAUAGUGCAUUGGUUCUGUCUUCCACGCUAGCUAGAGGAGGCACAGAGAGGAGGCACAGAGAGGAGGCACAGAGAGAAGACACAGAGAGGAGACACAGAGAGGAGGCACGGAGAGAGAGGAGACACAGAGAGGAGACACAGAGAGGAGGCACAGAGAGGAGACACAGAGAGGAGGCACAGAGAGGAGACACAGAGAGGAGGCACAGAGAGGAGACACAGAGAGGAGGCACAGAGAGGAGACAUCAUAUCUUCAUCUCUCCAAGUUGCUCAGCAGCUCCGUGAAGCACAAUGCCCUCGCAGGAGCGGAUAUGCAGAAGCGUUGUGUAGGAGACUCGGGAAAAAGGGCGUUUGAAUUAAGUACUUCUCCACUCCCCAGU
rnacentral:lncRNA from 8 species